GGAGAGGGUCAGGUGUCCGCCGGUCGUGUCCUCGGGCACGGCGGGAGGAAAGUCCGGGCACCACAGGGCAGAGUGCCGGGUAACGCCCGGUCGCGGUGACGCGGAGGAAAGCGCAACAGAGAGCAGUCCGCCAGCGCGUCUCUUGAAGGGGCGCGCUCCAGCACCUGUCCGGCGCAACCCCCUGAUCCCAGGGGCAUGGCGGCGGCGCAGACUGGCGGGUUUACCCGGGUAAGGUUGAAAGGGUAGGGUAAGAGCCUACCGGCGGUCCUGGAGACAGGGCCGGCCAGGCAAACCCCACUUGGUGCAAGGUCGAAGUCGGAGAAAGCGGCCCGCUAUCGCUCCGGGGUAGACUGCUUGAGGCCGUCGGCAACGCCGGUCCUAGACGAAUGGACACCACCUCCAGAGGGGCGACCCAAUGGAGGCACAGAACCCGGCUUAAGAGCCUCUCCGACC
rnacentral:RNase_P_RNA from 1 species